GCCUCAAUUCAAAUGGCAACGUCAACGUAAUUUAGCCUCCAAAACCCCUACGUGUGUCCCCAUUGCUGUUGUGACUGCAUCCAUUUUGAAGAGCUGACUAUGUCAGUACUGCUGGUUGGUUACUCAUAUCAUUAACACCAGGGUGGGGGUGCGUGUGUUAUAGGUCUUGUCUCGGUGCUGAUUCACCGUGUGGAGCGCAGACCUCUGUGAGCGGAAGACAUCAAAUAUGACGCCAGCCAAAAACGUCUUGUUACCAUGUUAGGUUAAACUUACAUGGAACGAUUUAGCUUGAUUAACAUUUAACAGUGAUUGACUAUGGGUCUGCUCGCUGCGUUAAUACAUUCAACGCACGGGUCUCUACUGAAGUCCACGUUUAAAUAUAAUUGUAUUUCUGAAAUGAAGCAAAGAUAGCUUAAGACUACAGACUGCUCAUAAUACGCGAGGAAGAAACAGUGCAACAGUCGCGUGCACAAGCUCGAGAGGACGUGCAGUUGUUUGCUGUCCAUGGUGCUGCUGAUUUGAAUAUUUUGAACUCUCUCUCUCUCUCUCUCUCUCUCUCUCUCUCUCUCACCCCCCGUUCCCUGAGGGGGCUCUGAGCGUUGCAGCAUUACCGCUUGUCUCAGUGCCCUCUCUCCUCGCUCUUCAGAGCAAACGUGAAUGAAUUGCACUGUAAUGGGGAUAUCACUAUGUACCGGAAAGCUGAUUUCUUUCUCCGGAUAGUCCACCACGACAAAGAGGACAAAUAACUACGUGUCCGUGGUUCUUUAGACGGAAAGACAAGCUAAACGAGCGAGUUGUAUUUGUUAUUUACGUGUAGUUUUGCGUUUUCCUCCAAGGUAAACCGGUACACCGGUUAUCAAAAACAAGCGCAGUCGGAAGUUACCGCCAAAAAACGAAAACAGGAUAAUUCUUCAUCUGCGGUUCAUCUUCUGUCUGAAUAUCUACAUUUGUCCCAGGAGUACGUCUGGAAAGGAUUUUUUUCUCCCGCAAUCUCCUCACUUUCUCUCCUCGGCUGUCUUUGAAGACUAUCCGGUCCCAUCUCGCAAAGGUAUGUGUGUGACUCUCAGUGUGUGUGUGUGUGUGUGUGUGUCAACAGCGCUUUUGUCCCUGUUUUUAAGAGGGUGUUUCGACUUUCUGUACCUCUCUUGUCGCUAGAGGUUGGUUGGCUCCUUCCCCGAUACUUUGUGACAUUGGAGUGGACAGCUGUGGCUAAGUGCUGAGGAGAGGAGGAGUGGACGCUCAGUGUCACUGACUGGGAGGUGGGGGCGGGAGGGGGGCGGAGUGGCAGGGAUUGGGGGGGGGCUGUGCAGG
ensembl:lncRNA